CCCUUAGAUGUUCUGGGCCGCACGCGCGCUACACUGACGAAUGCAACGAGCUUAUAACCUUGGCCGAAAGGUCUGGGUAAUCUCCAAAUUUCGUCGUGAUGGGGAUAGAUUAUUGCAAUUAUUAAUCUUCAACGAGGAAUGCCUAGUAAGCGCAAGUCAUCAGCUUGCGUUGAUUACGUCCCUGCCCUUUGUACACACCGCCCGUCGCUCCUACCGAUUGAAUGGUCCGGUGAAGCGUUCGGACCGUGGCCUUUGGACGGUUCGCCGUCUGUUGGCUGCGGGAAGUUCGUUAAACCUUNUNAUUUAGNGGAGGGAGAANUCGUANCA
rnacentral:rRNA from 1 species